CGAGCGGUAACAGGUCUAGCUUGCUAGACGCUGACGAGCGGCGGACGGGUGCGUAACGCGUAGGAAUCUACCUGAUAGAGGGGGAUAGCCCGGGGAAACCCGGAUUAAUACCGCAUACGCUCUAUGGAGGAAAGUGGGGGAUCUUUGACCUCACGCUAUCAGAUGAGCCUGCGUAAGAUUAGCUAGUUGGUGGGGUAAAGGCCUACCAAGGCGACGAUCUUUAGCUGGUCUGAGAGGAUGAUCAGCCACACUGGGACUGAGACACGGCCCAGACUCCUACGGGAGGCAGCAGUGGGGAAUAUUGCACAAUGGGGGAAACCCUGAUGCAGCCAUGCCGCGUGUGUGAAGAAGGCCCUUCGGGUUGUAAAGCACUUUUCAGUAGGGAGGAAAAGGGUAGUAGUUAAAUACCUUGCCUAUCUGUGACGUUUACCUACAGA
rnacentral:rRNA from 1 species